UGGCUCAGAUUGAACGCUGGCGGCAUGCUUUACACAUGCAAGUCGAACGGCAGCACGAAAGAGCUUGCUCUUUUGGUGGCGAGUGGCGAACGGGUGAGUAAUACAUUGGAACGUACCGAGUAAUGGGGGAUAACUGUCCGAAAGGAUGGCUAAUACCGCAUACGCUCUGAGGAGGAAAGCGGGGGACCUUCGGGCCUCGCGUUAUUCGAGCGGCCAAUGUCUGAUUAGCUAGUUGGUGGGGUAAAGGCCUACCAAGGCGACGAUCAGUAGUGGGUUUGAGAGGAUGAUCCGCCACACUGGGACUGAGACACGGCCCAGACUCCUACGGGAGGCAGCAGUGGGGAAUUUUGGACAAUGGGCGAAAGCCUGAUCCAGCCAUGCCGCGUGUCUGAAGAAGGCCUUCGGGUUGUAAAGGACUUUUGUCAGGGAAGAAAGGGUUUGGGUUAAUACCCUGAGCUUAUGAC
rnacentral:rRNA from 1 species